CCUACGGGUGGCAGCAGUGAGGAAUAUUGGUCAAUGGCCGGAAGCCUGAACCAGCCAAGCCGCGUGAAGGACGAAGGUGCCAAGCAUUGUAAACUUCUUUUGUCAAGGGACAAAAUCAGGCUCGAGAGCCUGACCGAGGGUACUUGAAGAAAAAGCAUCGGCAAACUCCGUGCCAGCAGCCGCGGUAAUACGGAGGAUGCGAGCUUUAUCCGGAUUUAUUGGGUUUAAAGGGUGCGUAGGCGGACUGUAAAGUCAGCGGUAAAAGCCCGGGGCUCAACCCCGGCGAGCCGUUGAAACUGGCUGUCUUGAGAUGUCGAGAGGUAUGCGGAAUGCGCAGUGUAGCGGUGAAAUGCUUAGAUAUUGCGCAGAACUCCGAUUGCGAAGGCAGCAUACCGGCGGCGAUCUGACGCUGAGGCACGAAAGCGUGGGUAUCGAACAGGAUUAGAUACCCUAGUAGUC
rnacentral:rRNA from 1 species